rnacentral:rRNA from 1 species
AUUGUGUGUGAAAGUUUCUAAGGGCGCAUGGUGGAUGCCUUGGCAACAGGAGCCGAAGAAGGACGUGGGAAUCUGCGAUAAGCUGGUGGAGUCGAUAACCGGACGUUGAGACCAGGAUUUCCGAAUGGGGAAACCCCGCACGACGUGUCGUGUGACCCCCGGUUGAACACAUAGACCGGGUGGAGGGAACGUGGGGAAGUGAAACAUCUCAGUACCCACAGGAAGAGAAAACAAAAAGUGAUUCCGUUAGUAGUGGCGAGCGAACGCGGAUGGGGCUAAACCGUAUGUGUGUGAUAC